GACGAACGCUGGCGGCGUGCCUAAUACAUGCAAGUCGAACGAGAAAUUCUUACACCGGAUGCUUGCAUCCACCGUAAGAUUUCGAGUGGCGGACGGGUGAGUAACACGUGGGUAACCUGCCCAAAAGAAGGGGAUAACAUUUGGAAACAAGUGCUAAUACCGUAUAACCAUGAUGACCGCAUGGUCAUGAUGUAAAAGGUGGUUUUGCUAUCGCUUUUGGAUGGACCCGCGGCGUAUUAACUAGUUGGUAAGGUAACGGCUUACCAAGGUGAUGAUACGUAGCCGAACUGAGAGGUUGAUCGGCCACAAUGGGACUGAGACACGGCCCAUACUCCUACGGGAGGCAGCAGUAGGGAAUCUUCGGCAAUGGACGCAAGUCUGACCGAGCAACGCCGCGUGAGUGAAGAAGGUUUUCGGAUCGUAAAACUCUGUUGUAAGAGAAGAACGUUGAUGAGAGUGGAAAGUUCAUCAAGUGACGGUAUCUUACCAGAAAGCCACGGCUAACUACGUGCCAGCCGCCGCAGUAACAC
rnacentral:rRNA from 1 species